AUGAGCACACACGGCACACGGACGCUCACGGACGCGGGGCACGGAUGUGCACACGCGGCACACAGACGCUCAUGGACGCGGGGCACGGAUGUGCACACGCGGCACACGGACGCUCACGGACGCGGGGCACGGAUGAGCACACGUGGGAUGUGCACAGUCGUGGUGACAGCCCGUGGACAACACACGCGGCACGUGACGUGCACACCGUGCGAGGCUCACCUUCACAGGAGGGGAAGUUGUAGGCGCCAGGCACACACGUGUCACACCUCAGCCCUGUCACACGGGGCCGGCAGCUGCACUGUCCGCUGCGGGGGUCGCAGGAUGCAUGCAGGGAGCCCUCGGUGGAGCAGUGGCAGGCUAGGCGAGGAAGGCAGGGUGUGGGCACGCGGUGGGGACACGCCCGCCCUCCCCGCCCCCUGCACGGGCACUCACGGGCACAGUCUGGGAAGCCGUGGAAGCCGGGGCUGCACUCCUGGCAGGCAGCGCCCGUGUAGCCAGGACGGCAGUGACACGUUCCGCCCGCCCCGCAGAGCUGGUCCAGGGUACCCCGGGGGUCACAGGUGCAGGCUGCAGGUGACACAGGGUCAGGCCCUGGGCACCCGUGGCUUGCCCUCCUGCUCCACCCAGGCCCCGCCCUGGACCUCCACUCACCGCGGCAGUUGGGGUAGCCGUGGUGGCCCGGGCGGCAGCGGUCACAGUGAGGGCCGUCAAACUCCGGCCGGCAGGAGCAGCGGCCGGCCUCGUCGCAGCCCUCGGGCAGGGUCCCCGCAGGGCUGCAGCCACACACUAGAGAGCGAAGAGGCAUACGGGGCCACCCUGAGCCAGGCAGGCCAUGCCCCAGGCCCCCCCCCCGCCCGUGCCCACUGGGGAGGUCUCGCUCACGCUGGCAAAGGGGGAAGUGGAAGUAGCCCGGGGCGCAGUGGUCGCACGUGGCCCCCUCGAAGCCCUCCCGGCAGGUGCACUGGCCCGAGUCUCGGUCACAGUCCCCAUCCGCCACUCCAGGGCUGGAGCACUGGCACGCUGCAGGAGGGGAUGCCGUGCUCAGUGGGAGAGGGGAUGGGCUCCCAGGAUUUGCGCGAGGACAGGGUCGGGGCUGCACUCACGCUGGCAGCCAGGGCCAUAGAAGCCUGGGGCGCAGAGCUCGCAGUGGGUGCCCUGGAAGCCAGGUUUGCACACGCAGCGUCCCAGCCGUGGGUCUUUGCGGCAGGCAUUGCCCUGGGUCCCGGCAGCGCUGCAGUCACAGUCUGGGGGAGAGGGAGGAGGGUCUCAGACACCUGCAGACCCCAGCCGUCCCUGCUGGACACUCUGCCCGCCACACACUUGCUUCCUUCACCUCUACGCUGA
rnacentral:lncRNA from 1 species